GGGCAUCUGAAGAGUCCCAAACUAGGACGAAACAGCUGUCCAGUAC
rnacentral:hammerhead_ribozyme from 1 species